GAUGAACGCUGGCGGCGUGCCUAAUACAUGCAAGUCGAGCGAACAGACGAGGAGCUUGCUCCUCUGACGUUAGCGGCGGACGGGUGAGUAACACGUGGAUAACCUACCUAUAAGACUGGGAUAACUUCGGGAAACCGGAGCUAAUACCGGAUAAUAUAUUGAACCGCAUGGUUCAAUAGUGAAAGACGGUUUUGCUGUCACUUAUAGAUGGAUCCGCGCCGCAUUAGCUAGUUGGUAAGGUAACGGCUUACCAAGGCAACGAUGCGUAGCCGACCUGAGAGGGGGAUCGGCCACACUGGAACUGAGACACGGUCAAGACUCCUACGGGAGGCAGCAGUAGGGAAUCUUCCGAAAUGGGCGAAAGCCUGACGGAGCAACGCCGCGUGAGUGAUGAAGGUCUUCGGAUCGUAAAACUCUGUUAUUAGGGAAGAAAAAAUGUGUAAGUAACUAUGCCCGUCUUGACGGUACCUAAUAAGAAAGCCACGGCUAACUACGU
rnacentral:rRNA from 1 species